CAAGUCGAACGGGAAGGGGGGCUUCGGCUCCCCGGAGAGUGGCGCACGGGUGAGUAACACGUGGGUAAUCUGCCUUUGGGUGGGGAAUAACGAUCCGAAAGGGUCGCUAAUACCGCAUAACGCAGCGGCACCGCAUGGUGACAGUUGUUAAAGCGGGGGAUCGCAAGACCUCGCGCCUGAAGAGGAGCCCGCGCCCGAUUAGCUAGUUGGUGGGGUAACGGCCUACCAAGGCAACGAUCGGUAGCCGGCCUGAGAGGGCGGUCGGCCACACUGGCACUGAGAUACGGGCCAGACUCCUACGGGAGGCAGCAGUGGGGAAUUUUGGGCAAUGGGCGAAAGCCUGACCCAGCAACGCCGCGUGAAGGACGAAAUCCCUCCGGGAUGUAAACUUCGAAAGUCAGGAAAGAAAUCGGUCAGGAUAAUACCCUGACCGGAUGACGGUACCUGACGUAAGCCCCGGCUAACUACGUGCCAGCAGCCGCGGUAAUACGUAGGGGGCAAGCGUUGUUCGGAAUUACUGGGCGUAAAGGGCGCGUAGGCGGCAUGGCAAGUCGGGAGUGAAAGGCCUGGGCUCAACCGAGGAACUGCUUUCGAGACUGCCAAGCUAGAGUGCGGAAGGGGCAUCUGGAAUUCCCAGUGUAGCGGUGAAAUGCGUAGAUAUUGGGAAGAACACCUGAGGCGAAGGCGGGAUGCUGGGCCGACACUGACGCUGAGGCGCGAAAGCCAGGGGAGCAAACGGGAUUAGAUACCCCGGUAGUCCUGGCCCUAAACGAUGGAUACUUGGUGUGUGGGGUUCUUCGAGUCCCCGCGUGCCGGAGCUAACGCGGUAAUAUCCCGCCUGGGGAGUACGGUCGCAAGGCUGAAACUCAAAGGAAUUGACGGGG
rnacentral:rRNA from 1 species